rnacentral:rRNA from 1 species
UACGUAGGGGCUAGCGUUGUCCGGAAUCAUUGGGCGUAAAGAGCGUGUAGGCGGCCCGGUAAGUCCGCUGUAAAAGUCAAAGGCUCAACCUUUGAAUGUCAGUGGAUACUGCCGGGCUAGAGUCCGGAAGAGGCGAGUGGAACUCCUGGUGUAGCGGCGGAAUGCGCAGAUAUCAGGAAGAACACCAACGGCGAAGGCAGCUCGCUAGGACGGUACUGACGCUGGAGACGCGAAAGCGUGGGGAGCGAACAGG